rnacentral:piRNA from 1 species
UCCAACCAGGACCAGGGCAGGCAGUUUA